GGGUUAGGGGGUCUGAGAGGAUGAUCCCCCACACUGGUACUGAGACACGGACCAGACUCCUACGGGAGGCAGCAGUGAGGAAUAUUGGGCAAUGGGCGCAAGCCUGACCCAGCCAUGCCGCGUGAAGGAUGAAUGCCCUAUGGGUUGUAAACUUCUUUUGUACGGGACGAAACUCCUGGUCGUGACCGGGAUUGACUGUACCGUGCGAAUAAGCAUCGGCUAACUCCGUGCCAGCAGCCGCGGUAAUACGGAGGAUGCAAGCGUUAUCCGGAUUCAUUGGGUUUAAAGGGUGCGUAGGCGGAAUAAUAAGUCAGUGGUGAAAGCCUGCGGCUUAACCGUAGAAUUGCCAUUGAUACUGUUAUUCUUGAGUAUAGUUGAGGUGGGCGGAAUGUGUAAUGUAGCGGUGAAAUGCUUAGAUAUUACACAGAACACCAAUUGCGAAGGCAGCUCACUAAGCUGUUACUGACGCUGAGGCACGAAAGCGUGGGGAGCAAACAGGAUUAGAUACCCUGGUAGUCCACGCUGUAAACGAUGAUCACUCGUUGUUGGCGAUAUACCGUCAGCGACUGAGCGAAAGCAAUAAGUGAUCCACCUGGGGAGUACGGCGGCAACGCUGAAACUCAAAGGAAUUGACGGGGGCCCGCACAAGCGGAGGAACAUGUGGUUUAAUUCGAUGAUACGCGAGGAACCUUACCUGGGCUUGAAAGGGGAACGACCUCCCGGGAAACCGGGAUUCUCUUCGGAGCGUUCUCCUAGGUGCUGCAUGGUUGUCGUCAGCUCGUGCCGUGAGGUGUCGGGUUAAGUCCCAUAACGAGCGCAACCCCUAUUGUUAGUUGCCAGCGGGUAAUGCCGGGAACUCUAACGAAACUGCCGGUGUAAACCGUGAGGAAGGUGGGGAUGACGUCAAAUCAGCACGGCCCUUAUGUCCAGGGCUACACACGUGUUACAAUGGCCGGUACAAAGGGCAGCUACUUGGUGACAAGAUGCUAAUCUCGAAAACCGGUCUCAGUUCGGAUCGAAGUCUGCAACUCGACUUCGUGAAGCUGGAUUCGCUAGUAAUCGCGCAUCAGCAAUGGCGCGGUGAAUACGUUCCCGGGCCUUGUACACACCGCCCGUCAAGCCAUGGAAGCUGGGGGUACCUGAAGUCUGUAACCGAAAGGAGCGGCCUAGGGUAAACCAGUGACUGGGGCUAAGUCGUAACAAGGUA
rnacentral:rRNA from 1 species